GAUGAACGCUGGCGGCGUGCCUAACACAUGCAAGUCGAGCGGCAGCGAGGGGUGCUUGCACCCUGUCGGCGAGCGGCGGACGGCUGAGUAAAGCGUGGGAACGUGCCCCAAAGUGAGGAAUAACUGCCCGAAAGGGUAGCUAAUACCGCAUAUUAUCUUCGGAUCAAAGGAUUUAUCCGCUUUGGGAGCGGCUCGCGUCGGAUUAGGUAGUUGGUGAGGUAAUGGCUCACCAAGCCGACGAUCCGUAGCUGGUCUGAGAGGAUGACCAGCCAGACUGGAACUGAGACACGGUCCAGACUCCUACGGGAGGCAGCAGUGAGGAAUCUUCCACAAUGGGCGAAAGCCUGAUGGAGCAACGCCGCGUGCAGGACGAAGGCCUUCGGGUUGUAAACUGCUUUUAUAAGUGAGGAAUAUGACGGUAACUUAUGAAUAAGGAUCGGCUAACUACGUG
rnacentral:rRNA from 1 species